GGCUGGGCAAAACUAAAACCCCUAGGCCCUCGGUCUUUUAUCUUCUCUCCGCUAUUUCGAGACCAACAAAUUCGGUACAAGUCUUCAAAUCUCUUCUCUCUCUCAGGUUUGUCAAAUUUUUUCUGUACCAAUUAAUUUGGCACAAGUCUUCGAAUCUCCCCUCUCUCAAAUCUUUGGAGAAAAGAAUUCAAGCUUUCAAACAACAACACAGAAACAGUUCAAGCCACACCAACGAUGAGACUUAAAAGUUUGGCCGAUAAAUUCUGCUGUUGCCGGAGCUAGGGAGGCUUUGAUUUCUGGAGACCCUUCUUUCAAUCUCGUUGAACUGAUGUUCUUUGUUAGGGGAAUGGGUAAUCUGCAAUAUUAGUUGGGUUGAUGGUGCUUUGCGAUUGUUGGGUUUUGCCGUACAAGCUUCACAUUACUUUUGACUUCUUAUAAGUGCUUCACCUUUUGUAAGAAAUAAAAGAUCUUCUACUUUUUCCCGUACACCGUUUUGUUACAUUAUGCCUACUAAAAAUGGAAUCUAUACUAGUGGAGCAUCACCAUCCAAAGACGAUGGCUAUGAAUGGAUGGGUGGUACGGCUCUUGCAAUGGUACUUAAAAAGGAAAAUGCAAUAGUAGUAGCCGCAGAUCGCCAAUUAAUAAGAAAGCGAAAGAGAGAUCAGAGUACCUAUGAGGAUGGUGGUUAUGAAACAAUCCCAUUUCAAGCUGAAUUACAGUAUAUCCAUCAGUUAGAUAAUAAUACUGGUUGUGUCGUGGUCGGUCAACGACCAAUUGCAAAUAGUUGGUUUGGAUACUUAGAUGCAAAGCUUUCUUCCAAGGGAGGAAGUUCCAACAUGUAUAAGAGUAAAAAUAAAGUUAAUGCAGAAAGCAACAACACCUUAUUAGCUAGUCUUCAACACUUGAGCGAUUUUCAAAAGGACCACUUCAAUGCCAAAGAAACAGCAUCAGAGGUUCUGUUAGUGGGCUGGAAUGAACAAGCUGAGGUUUGUCAUAUAUUGAUAGCUAUGCACGUAAUUAACAUCUGUGACAUCAUGUUCUUAAAUGUUCUUGAAGGAUGGGAGGGACAAAAUGAUGUUUCUGUUUUUGAUUGUGGGAAUAUUUUGCUGUUAAUGAAGCUAAACUUAAAAUCAUGGAAUCUGAGGGGUUUGUCUCACGUUGAUAGAAGAGGCGAAUUCAAAACCCUUUUGAGGUUUUGGAAAUCAGACGUAGUUUGCUCACAGGGAACUAAAAUUAGAAGGUGGAACAGGAGAAAAGUGAUGAAUAUGGGGUUUAAAUGCAGACUACAUCUAGUUUCAGUCUAUAAAAUUUUAAUUUACCGAUCAAAAACAAAAACGGAAAGACCGUUCUUUUUUUAAUCUUUGUAGCCAUCCUUGUAUUACAUCAACCAUGCUGGGCCAAAGGAAAUAAAGGACGGUGUAUACAUGGUUGGACGAGGAUGGUGGGACACUGUUACGACACUUGAAGCUUACGAUCCAGAUAUGAGAACAUCAGAUGCAAAAGAACUUGCUGAAAAAGCACUAUUCAUAUCACAUACAUUGAAAACUUCUGGUAUCGGCAUGGAUGUUUGGACUCUGAAACCUGGAGGUAUCUCAAAGAAAUCGCAGCGUAUGGAGAAUUUGAAUCACAAACACGCAGAUGUUUAAGUUAACAAUACUCUCCUAUUUCUGCAGUUGUACUUGUUCUAGAUUGUUUGAAAGCCCUGAUCAUAAGUAGCAAUGGAAGAGAAACGAGUCAGCCUUGGCAGUAGUAGAAUUGGAUGGAGCAUGAUUCAACUUUGGUACAAAACAUUCAAUUGAUAGAUUCAUUUCGUGUUGCAUCACCCAAUUUUUAGCUUUGAUUGGAUGGUUUUUAUGCAGGAUUGGUGGUGUUAAGGUAUGAAAGAUGUGAAUAACAGUAUAGAAUGGGAACAUUGCAGUUUAGGUGUUGACUGAAGCACUAAUGAUGUUUUGGCUUAAAACAUUCCUAUUUUAAGAAAUUAUAAUAGUUUGUUUUGAUGCCCUAGGUGCUUCAUGAUUGAUUUCGAUAGAUUUGAAACUUAGGUUUGUCAAACAACUCUCUGACAUCUGACAUAGUUGUUCUUAAUAGAGAAGAAAAGGAAACAAUUUUUCAUUCA